rnacentral:rRNA from 1 species
UAACCUACCCAUCAGAGGGGGAUAACACUUGGAAACAGGUGCUAAUACCGCAUAACAGUUUAUGCCACAUGGCAUAAGAGUGAAAGGCGCUUUCGGGUGUCGCUGAUGGAUGGACCCGCGGUGCAUUAGCUAGUUGGUGAGGUAACGGCUCACCAAGGCCACGAUGCAUAGCCGACCUGAGAGGGUGAUCGGCCACACUGGGACUGAGACACGGCCCAG